rnacentral:lncRNA from 1 species
AACCAAAGUAGGUCGUGUUUGGAAGACACAGAGAGGGCAUGAGAUGCUGCCAAGAACCCCAUGCCACCAUGUGCUGUGUCCCUAUUCAUCAGGCUGGCACCAUCACUUUUUUCAUCCCUUUUGGUCUUUUGAGACAGGCUUGCUGUGAGCCCCUCAUAUCCGCAACCCCCAUCCCAGGUGUCAGGAUCACCGAGGUAGGUGGCACUCUAGGCCUUCCUUUGUGACCUGGUAAGCAGAAGCUUAACUGUAAUCUUCGUUGCUCCUGACUUGUGAAUCAGUUUUUGUUUUCCUGAAAUAGGAUCUUUCUGUGUAGCCCAAUCUAGCUUCAAACUCCUGAUAUACCCUAGCUACCCUUAAAUACACGAUCCUUCCCCCACAGCCUCAGUCAGCCAUCUGGUUUUGAAAAGGACAUCGAUGCAGAACAUAGCUCUUAUUCUAACAGGAACAAGAGAUAGUUUUGAUUUUUUGUUUCUUGUUUUUUUUCAGCUAAAUAUGAGUGACUGCGACCCUGGGACAUAGACUCAGAUUUCCCCAAUGGAAGUAUUUACAAUGACUUUAUGAUUAUAGAACAAAAGAAACCAAGACACUUGCAAAAUACACUGCUGAGGACUGAGGGUAGGCAGCUGCCUUGAACAAGCAGAGGUCCCUUCUAUAGGUCUCAUGCUAGCUGAGUUAGCUCUAGCCCUGGCGUAGUGGAAACUAAUGGUCUAUCCAGUUUCUAUCCAGUUAAUACAUCCCAAAGGUUUUACCUGACAGUCAGAGGACGUUGGGUCAGACACAGGUGGGUAGUGAUGGCUGCUGACUAGGUAUCUCCAGGUAACUUUGACCAUCUGUUAAACCUCCAACUCUCCACAGCCCUAGAAGUUCUAGUGAGGCACCCCCUGGUCUGUAGAAUCUUCAGUGUGGGUGGCUUUUUCAGGGAAAUUGAGUUCAUACAGAAGUUCUGUAAUUCUGAAUUUCUUAGUAAUACCCUAGUUCUGAAAGCGGUGGUGUGAUCCUGUCUUCCCUGUUAACUGGGAGGCUGAUGCAGGAGGAUAGCUUGAGCCCGGGAGUUCAGGAACAGCCUGGUCUAAGACCACAAAAGAAGACAAACAGGAAAGAGUACCACUGGACCACUGCCCGCAUUUUCCCGAGGUAACAAGGCAUUAGUGUUCAGAGAGCAGGAUAGUGAAUGCUAGUAGUGCCUUGCUACUCUGGCCCAUUGGCACUCACUAAUUAUAUGUGUUGGCCGGACAGACACCAUUGCAAUACCAGUCUUUCUGACAUUGUAACUAUAGUGCAGAUAGGUAGCUUUCAUGACACACUUGGUGUUUUCCCUUUUGUUACUGUUUUUUUGCUUUUGGUUUUGUUUUGUUUUGAAAACAGGGUUUCUCUGUAUAGCCUUGGCUAUCCAGAAAAUCACACUCUAGGCUAGGCUGGCCUCAAACUCAGAGAUCUGCCUGCCUUUGUCUCCUUAAAGGCACGCCCCUACCACCCAGCUUCCCUUCCGUUCUUAGAGCCGGAUGAAUGAUGUAUGCCCCUGAUGAGUAUAGACUAUCCCUUGUUCUCCAUGUAACUCUAAAUCCAAAAUUCAAGUGGUAAAAAUUGGAUCUUUAUAUGCUUAUGGCCUAAUAGCUCCCUUUCUAUAGAUUGUUUUUAUUUUUGCCAAUUAAAUGUUGCACUUGGGUUGUUUUCUGGUUUGUAAUUGUUAAACCCUUUCCUGUCUCAGCAUACUUCAUCUAUAAUUUUCAAUUUUUCCAUUAAGGUCUUAG